GUGGCAUCGAGUGGCACUCAUCACCCUGUGACAUACCUAAAACGUUGCUUCGGCGGGAACAGACGGCCCUGUAACAACGGGCCGCCCCCGCCAGAGGACCCCUAACUCUGUCUUUAUAAUGUUUUUCUGAGUAAACAAGCAAAUAAAUUAAAACUUUCAACAACGGAUCUCUUGGCUCUGGCAUCGAUGAAGAACGCAGCGAAAUGCGAUAAGUAAUGUGAAUUGCAGAAUUCAGUGAAUCAUCGAAUCUUUGAACGCACAUUGCGCCCGCCAGUAUUCUGGCGGGCAUGCCUGUUCGAGCGUCAUUACAACCCUCAGGCCCCCGGGCCUGGCGUUGGGGAUCGGCGGAAGCCCCCUGUGGGCACACGCCGUCCCUCAAAUACAGUGGCGGUCCCGCCGCAGCUUCCAUUGCGUAGUAGCUAACACCUCGCAACUGGAGAGCGGCGCGGCCAUGCCGUAAAACACCCAACUUCUGAAUGUUGACCUCGAAUCAGGUAGGAAUACCCGCUGAACUUAAGCAUAUCAAAGCCGGGAAGGAAAA
rnacentral:rRNA from 1 species